rnacentral:misc_RNA from 1 species
AAAAUUAGUUGACAUAAUUCAAUUACCCACACAAAAGGUCACGAAGCUGAUUGUUCAUCCUUCGCACUUCUUUCGUCAUCAUGGGACUGAAACAGGAGCAUUUUGACAAAAUAAUUCCCGGCGAAUUUAUUUGUACCCAUUGCCACGAUGUAUUUCUAGAGCCAGUUUGCUUAGCUUGUCAACAUGUGCUAUGUAAAAAGUGUUUCAAGAAGAGGAUGAAACGCAAAACACCUACGUGUCCUGUUUGCAAGAAAGCCCUGUAUUUGGGCGACCAAAAUACUGAUGGGGAAUGGAGAGAGCAGUACGAAAGCCUGCAAGUCAACUGUCCGAAGGGAUGCGAGAAAGUGUUGUCGCUAGGAAAACUAAGUGAUCAUUACGGUAAUCACUGCCCACUGACUUUCACUGUUUGCGUGAACAUCGGUUGUAAUCGGAAGGUACGGCGAAGAGACCUUCCAUUACACCUCCAAAGUUGUGACUUCAGAGUCGUACAGUGCGAGGGAUGUGGGUUCUCAACAAAAUAUGUCGAUUUACGAAUGCAUCAAAUCGUUCAGAAGUGUCUCCUAAGGACUCGUUUGCACAUGAUUGUGCAGAACCGCCGUGAAAUGACCGCGCGAGUGAAACAGCAUCGUCUGAAACUGCGGGAGGAAAGUUUUCAAGUCGAGCUCGAGGAAAGAGAUUUGGAUCGCGCAAAGAUGUGGAGUGCUAUUGCCAGGAACGAAAUUUCAAGAACAAGCAGUGCAAAUCAUCUUUCAUACGGAGGGAGACAGUCUCCAGAAGUUACUCGUUACAAAGGAGCUUUAUCGAGAGUGGUUUAUAGCGCUCCAUCAUCUCCGGUGAUGUCCUCUGCAGUGACGUCUAAAACUCUUGCUAGUGACACCAAACUAUGUACUAAUUGCAAUAAGCUUUUCAGUGAACACCGUAAUCAUGAGGAAGCUUGCAGGUGGCACAAAGGGCCGGUAUGUACAUUUAACAUCUAUCUGUUGAAUGCUUUUUCUAUUUAACAUUAAUUUGUAAAGUAUUAUCAAUAUACAAUACAUGAGUUUACCAAGUCCCCAUUCUUGAAAAACUUAAUGCUACAGUGCUUCCAAGUGGAGCUGGUGUUUGUUGCUAGAAACUCUCUGCUUUGUUUCAUAACAUUUUUAAUCUGUGUUAGUUUUGAUACUAGCUUCAGGGUGUUAUUUGAGAAUUUACAAUUUUUUUUAGGAUGAGACUCCUCAAAUGAAGGUUAACCUCGUCCAAGCAAAAGAUUUACAAUCAGCCAUUCCCAAAAUACAACCCCUUCCCUACCAAGUUUAUGUUUUAUAGUCAAUUAGAAACAGACAAUUCAAAGGUGCUGUAAUCCAUUUAAGUUGAAAUUCAGCAUCUUUCCUCUAAUCUGGAGUUAAACCUGUACAAUAGAUCUGAUUUUUUUUAUUCCUUCUUUUAUGUGCCAUGGAAAGGUUGUGGAUGUGUUUGGGGUAAGUUCUUCUUCUUACAUCUGAUUUCACAAAAUGGUUACAGUUCAUAUUUAAUGCAUUAAAGGUUUGAGCCACCAGCAAGAUUUUGUUGAAACAGGAAAAUAUUUUUUCCGCUGAAUUUUUGCGUUUCAUGGAGCCUUGGAAAAAACUGAAAUUUGAGGGUAACAUUUUUGAGUGUUUUGUUAUAUAACACAACAAAGACAGUAGAAGAUGUAAAGAGAAAAC